ACUUUUAUAGUUUAAGAAAAACAAUAGUCUUGUAAACUAUAAAUGUAAAUACUAAAAGUA
rnacentral:tRNA from 1 species